GAUGAAGAACGUAGCGAAAUGCGAUAAGUAGUGUGAAUUGCAGAAUUCAGUGAAUCAUCGAAUCUUUGAACGCACAUUGCGCCCUUUGGUAUUCCUUAGGGCAUGCCUGUUCGAGCGUCAUUUAAACCUUCAAGCUAAGCUUGGUGUUGGGUGACUGUCCGCUUCACGGCGGACUCGCCUCAAAAUUAUUGGCGGCCGGUACAUUGGCUUCGAGCGCAGCAGAAACGCGAACUCGGGCCCGUCGUAUUGGCUCCCAGAGGCUAUCUUCACAAUUUUGACCUCGGAUCAGGUAGGGAUACCCGCUGAACUUAAGCAUAUCAAUAAGCGGAGGA
rnacentral:misc_RNA from 1 species